rnacentral:lncRNA from 1 species
CCUUAUAGAAAUUCCGUUGACUUUCAGACAAUGGGCUCUUCCUGACAUGUGAUCUUUCUGGGAGCUGCUGGAGCUGGCUCUUCCCCUGCUAUUAGCCAUCCAUCAGCAUUCCUGUCAGGGACACUUCUGGCUCCUGAUCAGCAGGAAGAAAUGCAGGCUGCAGAGGAAUGCCAGGUGGCUCUAUGAGUGAAAUAUGACCAUGUUCACAUCACCACACAUGGUAUUUCUAUGUGCCACCUUGGGCAGGCUAUGGUGCCGGAUAUCGGAGUCAAACACCAUUCUUGAUGUUGCUGGGAAGAGGGAUUUGACAAUUAAAUCAAGAGAUGCUGCAUAAGGCAGAUGACCUGCAUGCCGAUGGUCUAAGAGGCGCCAGGGAGUUCCAUACAGCCUGGACUACAAUGAAACAACCAGCUACCCCAGGAUGUGGUAGCACCCCAACCUUCUCGGGUCCCCCAAAGAUGGUCAACGCCCCCCACGUCAGCAGGAAGCAGUCUUAAGAAUUCGACGCCCUUAUUCCUUAACCUGCCAUGUCUAAACACCCCACCUUUUUUUAAUAAUAAGUAGAGGUGGGAAUGAAAGGUUCAGGCAUUAUGCUGGCCUGCCCCUGUUACCUGGUGGAAUCCACUCAGGCAAUACCCUGGUCAGCCCAAGGUUCCAUGGGAAAGAAGUCUGCACGCAGGUGCAGAGGACCCCUUUAAAAGAUAGGCCCCUGCACCUUUACUCUCUCUCUCUCUCUCUCUCUCUCUCUCUCUCUCUCUCUCUCUCUCUCCCUCUCUCCCUCUCUCUCUCUCCCGUCUCUCUCUCUCUCUCUGUGUGCUCUCUGUUUCCCCCGCUCUGUCUCUCUAUGGCGACCGGCCAUGGCGGUCAGCCAUUACCCUGUUCCUCUUCUUAGUCUACCCAUUCUACC